GAAAUCUUCAAAGCAAGUUUUAAUAGUGAACGAAUGCAGCUUUCAAUCAGGAAAAGGCAACCACAAAGUUCUCAACAAAGCAUUAAUGCGAAGCGUACUAAAUUUUAACUUGAACGAAUGCAGCUUUCAAUCAGGAAAAGGCAACCACAAAGUUCUCAACAAAGCAUUAAUGCGAAGCGUACUAAAUU
rnacentral:sRNA from 1 species